GCAGCACCAACAGGUCUUCGAAGUCAGAACAACUGCCUAAAUUUCCCUUUUUGAGAAGUGGCUGAAGCAUUACAAGAUGGUGUUUCUUGUAAGUGAACAGAUAAUUCACUAUGAAGAUGCCUUCAAUCUGCGUCUCCUUUUUGAAGAUUACGACAGUCCGCACAGUUGAGAUGACCUUGGAAGAUACACAACAUGAUGUCUAAUGAAGGCCCGCAGGAAGAUACAGUGCACUUCCAUCUCAUUUGAAGACUAAGAGACGGACAAACAAACGGCCUGUACAGGACAAUGUGGAAGGUGGCAUCUUUCAAUGAUGGUUUCCUUGACAUUCUUCACUUGAUUGUGUCCGGCCAUCAUGAUCUUCAAGAUACACCAAGAUUGGAAUGAAGCGAUCGUCAGAUUUGAUUGAACCUCGGUAACAAGGACAAGCUGUACUUGUGUUUUGUAGUGACCACCAUCUAACUAUCACAAAAACAUUUGUCUUCAAGUUAUCUUAUGAUUGUGGAGUACGCUGGAUGUCUUUACAAUGUUGCCAUUAACUUUAGGUCGGACCCUUGCCUUCACGAACAUUUCAAACUCUCUGCCACAGACUCUGAAUAAUCUAUGUCAUAUGACCAUCAUGUGACCACCAUGUGACCAGCACAAUGCAUCACCAGUUGUCUGAUGAAGUCCAUAGUAAGUUGCAGCCUUUGAUUCAUUUUCUAAACCUUUAUCAAAGUGGAUGCAUCUUAGUUUUUGCUGUUCACAUCACCAAAGUGGCACUGAGAUCAAGAAUAAGAAUUAAAAUGGCAGAAGUACAGAGUGUAAAGUUCUUUAUACCCUGUUCACACAACCCUAGGACCUUAUGAAUACCAUGCCGAUCACCGCGAUCUCAAAAAUGUUUUAAGUUGGGACACAAUCACCGUCAAAAUCAAGCAAUAAUGCAAAUUAAAGAUUGCACGCAACAUUUUCAUUUCAAUGCAUUUAUUUAGUACCAAAGUUCUGCUUCUAUGACAACACUGUUGCUGACUCGCUGUCACUACGACUACACCUGGACUAAUGUCGACCUAGUACAUGUAGUUUUCUACUUUGAAAUGGUUGCCGACAGUGCUGGAAUCUCACCACGAUGCUCGCUCAUUGUUAAAAAAAAGUGUGGUGAGAGAAUGCAGCCAAACCACGCUCAUGGACAUCCUCCCACGUUUGGCCCACGAUUGGUCCGCGAUUGGCCUCGUUCUCGGCUACUUUUUUAUGUCGUGUGUGUGUGUGAACGGGGUAUAAAGGGAAGGUAUGCAUUUGGUAAGGAAACAUUUUGGUUAGAAGCCUACAG